GCCGGGGUGAUGGAAGUGGCAGACAUGGAUGGCUCAAAAUCAUCUGCCCGAAAGGGCGUGCGGGUUCGAAUCCCGCCCUCGGCA
rnacentral:tRNA from 1 species